GGUUUUUCUACCAAAUCAUAGUACAGUUUUACUGCUUUUUAUAGGAUUUUUAGGGGAUAUUUAUAUUGCUUAAUAUAGUAUUUCUGCUUUUUAUAGGAUUUGUGCUUAAUAUAGUUUUUCUAAAAAAUGUAGUAUUUAUGCUUAAUCAUACUAUUUCUAUAUAUUUCUGCCAGGUCCCCAGGCAGCUAAUCCUCUGUGAGGACUGAUACAUACAAAUACAUAUCAGGGCCUGCACGGCUUCCCAGCCAGCCAAUCAUAUCUGGGGUCUGCCCUUUCUUCUCUCGUCAUAUCUCAGCGACAGAUGUACAAAGAGCAAUGCAAAUCACAGUCAAAGUACACGAACG
ensembl:lncRNA